GCAUAACAUCAAAUUCAUACAUUAAGUUACGAAGGGGCUAGACAUUGCAGCUUCCCUGGAAGUGAAAGAAGACAUCUCCUACAGAAUAACAACGAAAUAAAUAAUAAUGAAUAUCUUAGUAUCACACUCCAUAAAUGGAGACACUAAAAUUAACUCUUAUAGCUGAAGCCAUCAAUAUUGCAGCUUUUUAAGGGAUCCAUGGAUGGAUGGAGAAAGAAACAAUUUUUUGACAAGCUUCUUAAUUUCUUCGACUCAUCAGAAAUGUUCAAUCUUCCAAAUUCUUAUGCAUAAUAGAGCAAAUGAUUCAUCUCUUCUAAAAACCUAAAGAAAAAUAUUGGGAUGGGUGUAUGAGGUCGGUCUACCAAAUAUGAUGAUGGAAAAGCAAAAUAUAUUUUUACCUUAUUUCAUAAUACUGGAUAGAGGUCAGAUACUUCUUUUUUGUAGCCAAAAAUCUGGGAGUCAUUGGAUUUGUGAUACAGACUUUCUCUUCAUAAUACCAAUGACAUUCAUCCUGUAAUUAAACUCUAAUGGUUCAUCGUAGAAAAUGAACAUACAAGAAAAGUUGCAGUGACUUACCUAAUUAAUUAGAUGAUAUCUCCUGCUCCCUCAUCCCUCAGUCUACACAAUAAUGUACCUUCCAUUUAUUUUCAUGAUCCCCCAAAGUGUUAACUGUCCGAAUAUCUCGAAAAAGUCGAAAUCCCUCUACUCCGAAUCCAAAUAUAUAUUCUUCGCUUUGCAAAGGAAUUUCCUUCUUAUUAAAAGGUUGCUAUAAUUGAAUUUCAACUAUUCAUUGUCUUUUUCUCCAAUUUCAAGAUAGAAAGACAAAGUAUACAGUAUUUAUACGACAAACUUAUACAAUUUCUUGAUU
rnacentral:lncRNA from 1 species